GUUUAACAAAAACAUGUCUUUUUGAUUAUAAUUUAAAGUCUAACCUGCCCAAUGAGUUUUAAAUGGCCGCAGUAUACUGACUGUGCAAAGGUAGCAUAAUCAUUAGUUUUUUAAUUGAAAGCUGGAAUGAAAGGUUGAAUGAGAAAAUAACUGUCUCUAUUUAAAUUUAUUAGAAUUUUAUUUUUAAGUAAAAAAGCUUAAAUAUCUGUAAAAGACGAGAAGACCCUAUAGAGUUUUAUAUUCUUUAUUUUUUAUAAUUUUAGUAUUUUAAUUUUUAUUUAAUAAAGAGUAUUUGAUUGGGGUGAUUGAAAAAUUAAAUAAACUUUUUUUUUAUUAUUACAUAUAUAUAUGUUUAUUUGAUCCUUUAUUUAAGAUUAUAAGAUAAAAUUACCUUAGGGAUAACAGCGUAAUUUUUUUUUAGAGUUCUAAUCGAAAAAAAGGAUUGCGACCUCGAUGUUGGAUUAAAA
rnacentral:rRNA from 1 species